rnacentral:lncRNA from 1 species
UUUUUGUCUUUUAAAAUUAAAGUCAGUAUAGUUACGUUCAUUUACAAGUUUGGUUUAAGAAAGUGUUUAAAAAUUCAAUGGCAUAAGGCCAAAGUUUCUAAUCAUUAAAACAUGUCUAAGUUGAAAACACAAACAAAGAAGAUUUUUUUAAAAAGAGGGAGAGAUUUUUAAAUUAAAGAAGUGGGAGGAGAUGAAGAGGCUACCCUAGACAAGAAUG